rnacentral:lncRNA from 1 species
UGCCAUUGUCCGUCCGUCACACUUACCCUCUCCACUGACGCUCUCGUCUCCUCUCGUCUCGUUUCCCUCGCCACCAGCUCGCGCGGGAAAUGGCGUUGUAGGCUGGAGCUGGAGCUGAGCAAGAACUGGAGCGAGGAGGGAAGCUAGGGAGCUCGGACGGAGAAUGGGCUGCUGCGUCAGCAAGAAGCGCGACGAGCUGCUGCAUGGUGCGGCGGCGG